AUACGGAGGGUGCAAGCGUUAAUCGGAAUUACUGGGCGUAAAGCGUACGUAGGCGGUUUAUUAAGUCGGAUGUGAAAGCCCCGGGCUUAACCUGGGAACUGCAUUUGAAACUAGUAGACUAGAGUAUGGUAGAGGGGGGUAGAAUUCCUAGUGUAGCGGUGAAAUGCGUAGAUAUUAGGAGGAAUACCAGUGGCGAAGGCGGCCCCCUGGACCAAUACUGACGCUGAGGUACGAAAGCGUGGGGAGCGAACAGGAUUAGAAACCCUAGUAGUCC
rnacentral:rRNA from 1 species